ensembl:snoRNA
GCAUGGGUUUGGAUUUAUGGCAGGCUUGUCCCCCUGGGCCUCUCAGAGUAUCCCAUGGCAGAGCAAGCUGGCCCUGAGCCAUUGCCCGGCUUCUACCUGUGGGCUGCUGGCACUGAACUGGGUUGCACAGUG